rnacentral:rRNA from 1 species
GAAUCCCGUCUUCACCCGGCGACCGACCCCGCACAUGACCCCUUCGACGAGUCGAGUUGUUUGGGAAUGCAGCUCAAAAUGGGUGGUAAAUUUCAUCUAAAGCUAAAUACCGGCUGGAGACCGAUAGCGCACAAGUAGAGUGAUCGAAAGAUGAAAAGCACUUUGGAAAGAGAGUUAAAAAGCACGUGAAAUUGUUGAAAGGGAAGCGCUUGCGACCAGACCUGUCCGUCGGUGAUCAGCCGCCGUUUUCGGUGGUGCACUCGCCGGCGAUCAGGCCAGCAUCGAUUUGGGCGGUCGGACAAAGGCCGCGGGAACGUAGCUUCCUUCGGGGAGACCUUAUAGCCCGCGGUGCAAUGCGGCCAGCCCGGAUCGAGGACCGCGCUUCGGCAAGGAUGCUGGCGUAAUGGUUGCAAGCGACCCGUCUUGAAACACGGACCAAGGAGUCUAACAUCUAUGCGAGUGUUUGGGUGUUAAACCCAUGCGCGUAAUGAAAGUGAACGGAGGUGAGAACCCGCGAGGGCGCAUCAUCGACCGAUCCUGAUGUCUUCGGAUGGAUUUGAGUACGAGCAUAGCUGUUGGG